CAGUCGCCGCGGGAAAACGAAGGGUGCAGGCGUUAAUCGGAAUUACUGGGCGUAAAGCGUGCGUAGGCGGUUUGUUAAGUCUGUUGUGAAAUCCCCGGGCUCAACCUGGGAAUGGCAAUGGAUACUGGCAAGCUAGAGUGUGGCAGAGGGGGGUGGAAUUCCGCGUGUAGCAGUGAAAUGCGCAGAUAUGCGGAGGAACACCGAUGGCGAAGGCAGCCCCCAGGGCCAACACUGACGCUCAUGCACGAAAGCGUGGGGAGCAAACAGGAUUAGAUACCCCUGUAGUCCCUGUCUCUUAUAC
rnacentral:rRNA from 1 species